UAGCGAGUAAAGCCUAUCCGAAACAAUGAUGCCUGCAUUAGUGGGUUAGGAGGAUUAGGAUAGGGGUCGCUU
rnacentral:sRNA from 12 species